UCUAAGCCAUAAUUUAAAUACUGAAUAACCGAGAAAAAAAAUGAGGCCACAGAGGCAAAAAUAAGGGCAAUUUUAGCUACUAAUAGCCAAUAAAAGUUAAUUAUAUUUCUAACUAGGAAAGUUAGGAUUUUAAUUUUUUUAUUUUUAUUUUUUGAGACAGUCUUGCUUUGUCGCCCCAGCUGCAGUGCAGCGGCUUGAUCUCGGCAUACUGAGACAGGGGAAAGAGAAAAACGGAAGAUUACAUCCCCCAACAUUCCACUAAAACCAGCAUUCAGACUGCUAUUCCAAUCACCAUUUUCCAGUCCAUUUUUACUAGCUCUCUCCACUGUGCUUCCUGGUGGUGAAAAUUCUAAUACCCUUCUAUUCUAGUUUGCUUAAUUCCUUUCUGUCCCUUCUCAAUGGUGAUCAUGUGCUCCUCAUCCUCUAUGCAUUCCUCAAACCUAGGCACUGUAUUUAUAAAAAUGCUUUCUUAG
rnacentral:lncRNA from 1 species